rnacentral:rRNA from 1 species
CCUACGGGAGGCAGCAGUAGGGAAUUUUCGGCAAUGGGGGGAACCCUGACCGAGCAACGCCGCGUGAGGGAGGAAGUAUUUCGGUAUGUAAACCUCUGUUAUAAAGGAAGAACGGUGCAUGUAGGGAAUGACAUGCAAGUGACGGUACUUUAUGAGGAAGCCACGGCUAACUCCGUGCCAGCAGCCGCGGUAAUACGGAGGAUGCGAGCGUUAUCCGGAUUUAUUGGGUUUAAAGGGUGCGUAGGCGGGAUGCCAAGUCAGCGGUAAAAAUGCGGUGCUCAACGCCGUCGAGCCGUUGAAACUGGCGUUCUUGAGUGGGCGAGAAGUAUGCGGAAUGCGUGGUGUAGCGGUGAAAUGCAUAGAUAUCACGCAGAACUCCGAUUGCGAAGGCAGCAUACCGGCGCCCUACUGACGCUGAGGCACGAAAGCGUGGGUAUCGAACAGGAUUAGAUACCCCUGUAGUC